rnacentral:rRNA from 1 species
AUCUGUGGCCAUACCACCCUGAAUGCGCCCGUUCUCGUCUGAUUUCGGGAGCUAAGCAGGGUCGGGCCCGGCUAGUACUUGGAUGGGAGAUACUGCAUUAUGUUUCAAAGCUGAUAGCUUGGAGGCACUGUUU